rnacentral:rRNA from 1 species
UAUUAGAAAAUAAGUGGGGAAGUUUUUUUAAGAGGGUAAAAAGGUAAAAUUUAAAUGAUUUUAAGGAGACGAAGCUUGCGAAGGCGACUUUUUAUAAUAUACUGACGUUGAGAUACAAAAGUAUAGGGGAGCAAAAGAGGAUUAGAGACCCUCGUAGUCUAUACUGUGACCGAUGAAAUAUUAGGAAAAAUAAAAAAUGUACUUUUAUUUUAUUUUAUCUAAGCUAACGCGUAAAUAUUCCGCCUGGGAACUAUGGCCGCAAGGUUAAAACUCAAAGGAAUUGACGGAGAACAGACCAAGUAGUGGAGUAUGUGGUUUAAUCCGAUAGUCCGCGCAAAAACCUUACCAAUUCUAGUUUAUAUAUAUAAAUAUCUAACAUGAUGUUUAUAUCUUAAUAAUUUGAAUAAUUAUUUUCAGAUAUAAGUAUAAUCAGGUGUUGCAUGGCUGAUGUAAGUUCGUGUUGUCAAAUAUCCUGUUAAUUCCGGAAACGAACGCGAC